GCGUAAUAGCUCACUAGUCGAGUCGGCCUGCGCGGAAGAUGUAACGGGGCUAAGCUAUAAACCGAAGCUGCGGCAAUGCAUUUAUGUAUUGGGUAGGGGAGCGUUCUGUAAGCCGUUGAAGGUGGAUUGUAAGGUCUGCUGGAGGUAUCAGAAGUGCGAAUGCUGACAUGAGUAACGAUAAAGGGGGUGAAAAACCUCCUCGCCGGAAGACCAAGGGUUCCUGUCCAACGUUAAUCGGGGCAGGGUGAGUCGACCCCUAAGGCGAGGCCGAAAGGCGUAGUCGAUGGGAAACGGGUUAAUAUUCCCGUACUUCUUACAAUUGCGAUGGGGGGACGGAGAAGGCUAGGUGGGCCUGGCGACGGUUGUCCAGGUUCAAGUGCGUAGGCUUGAGAGUUAGGUAAAUCCGGCUCUCUUUAAGGCUGAGACACGAUGUCGAGCUACUACGGUAGUGAAGUCAUUGAUGCCAUGCUUCCAGGAAAAGCCUCUAAGCUUCAGAUUGUAAGGAAUCGUACCCCAAACCGACACAGGUGAUCAGGUAGAGAAUACCAAGGCGCUUGAGAGAACUCGGGUGAAGGAACUAGGCAAAAUGGUACCGUAACUUCGGGAGAAGGUACGCUCCUGUCGGUGAAGUCCCUUGCGGAUGGAGCUAACGGGAGUCGCAGAUACCAGGUGGCUGCAACUGUUUAUUAAAAACACAGCACUGUGCAAAAUCGUAAGAUGACGUAUACGGUGUGACGCCUGCCCGGUGCCGGAAGGUUAAUUGAUGGGGUUAGACUUCGGUCGAAGCUCUUGAUCGAAGCCCCGGUAAACGGCGGCCGUAACUAUAACGGUCCUAAGGUAGCGAAAUUCCUUGUCGGGUAAGUUCCGACCUGCACGAAUGGCGUAAUGAUGGCCACGCUGUCUCCACCCGAGACUCAGUGAAAUUGAAAUCGCUGUGAAGAUGCAGUGUACCCGCGGCUAGACGGAAAGACCCCGUGAACCUUUACUACAGCUUGGCACUGAACAUUGAGCCUACAUGUGUAGGAUAGGUGGGAGGCUUUGAAACACAGACGCCAGUUUGUGUGGAGCCGACCUUGAAAUACCACCCUUGUAUGUUUGAUGUUCUAACUUAGGCCCCUCAUCGGGGUUGAGGACAGUGCCUGGUGGGUAGUUUGACUGGGGCGGUCUCCUCCCAAAGAGUAACGGAGGAGCACGAAGGU
rnacentral:rRNA from 1 species